GUGGGGAAUAUUGGACAAUGGGCGCAAGCCUGAUCCAGCCAUGCCGCGUGUGUGAAGAAGGCCUUCGGGUUGUAAAGCACUUUUGUCCGGGAAGAAAUCUUCCAGGUUAAUACCCUGGGAGGCUGACGGUACCGGAAGAAUAAGCUCCGGCUAACUUCGUGCCAGCAGCCGCGGUAAUACGAAGGGUGCAAGCGUUACUCGGAAUUACUGGGCGUAAAGCGUGCGUAGGUGGUUCGUUAAGUCUGCCGUGAAAGCCCCGGGCUCAACCUGGGAAUGGCGGUGGAUACUGGCGGGCUAGAGUGCGGUAGAGGGUGGUGGAAUUCCCGGUGUAGCAGUGAAAUGCGUAGAGAUCGGGAGGAACAUCUGUGGCGAAGGCGGCCACCUGGACCAGCACUGACACUGAGGCACGAAAGCGUGGGGAGCAAACAGGAUUAGAUACCCGGGUAGUCC
rnacentral:rRNA from 1 species